rnacentral:tRNA from 1 species
GCUCGCGUGGCCUAAUGGAUAAGGCGUCGGAUUCCGGUAAUGGGGGAGAUCUCCGAAAGUUGGGGGUUCGAGUCCCCUCGCGGGCU